UCUCUCUCUCUCUCUCUCUCAUAUCUUCUUUCCAUAUCUCCACCAACCCAUCCAAAUCUCUCUAUCUUCUUUGAAAAUUCAACCUCUUUCAAACCGGCUGGAAGAGGCAAAACGCUAGGUUUCAGAACGAGGAAUAGGGCGACAUCUCAAAGGUGGGGAAAUACAUUGAAGUGCCGAUGUUUUGGUGUUGGAUCUUUGGUUUACCUCACCGGAGUCGCUGCCGUCCUUUAGUACCUUGUUGCUGAGGUAUUUCUCUCUCCCUAUCGUGAUUUCCAAGUUCAAUCAACUUUGCCCGUUUUUUGUAUUGUUUUUGUUGAAUCUAGGGUUUAUUUAUGUUAGUUCGUGAUUUUUUUAUUUAUUUUUUGAACUUUUAAUUGAGGAUUUUGGUUUUUGAUGCCAGUUCUUUGUUCUUGAUUCCUUUGGAUCUUGUGUCUCCAGCAUUUUUUCUACAAAAAACUUCCGCUUUUUUUUCUUCUGAAAAUCGUCGUUUUUUUCAGCAGUUCUGGAGCUUGGAUGGCACUGUUGAAGAGGAAAACCCAUCAGAGAAUUUCGAUUUCCAAAUGUAAAUUUGAAAGCGGAUUCGAUACACUUGAGGGAAGCAAUGAUGUCUGGUGAAGUUGUGGACAUGGAUUGGAGUAAAAGACCCGGGAGAUCAGAUAUUUGUGUAAACGUAAAUGGCAUUUCAGAUAAGUCAUUGUUGAACUCUAGCAACUUUAUUAUUGUUCAUGGAGCUUGUUAGUUGAUUCAUCUGGAAGCCCUUCGGUUUUGGAUGCAUUAUUCAUUUGGAAAAUUGGAUUUGUUUGUGAUUGUAGAUACAUUUUGCAUUUGAUUUGAACUGUUGCAUCCUGAGUAGGUUAUCCAGCUUGUUUUUAGGACAAGCUGGAACAUGAAUCCACUUGGCAAAACUGAACACAGAUAAUUCUUGAUUUCCUGGUUUCGGUGUGUUAUAGCUUUGCUUUAGUAAUGUAUGUGGUGCCUCGAUUAAAUUAUUUUAGGUAAGAUAAGGGUUACAUUUCUCCUGUUUAUAGAACGAACGAUGCUAGGACAGUGGCGACACUAGUAAGGGUUUAGUGGGUUCAACUGAACCCUUACUAGUUUCCAAAAUAACUGACAAGUUAAAACAGUAAACUUAAAUAAAUACAACUAAACGUGUCAUGUAUCAUAUAAGCACUAAGUGCCUCAGUGGUUGUAGGGGGAAAUUUGUUAGAAAGCGACACGGUUAGACUCUCAAAUGCACCAUUUUACCGGUCUUUUUUCAUUUUUCUUACUGGUUUUGCUUUACAGUUGCGAAACUAUCCUAAAAAAAGUAUGACUUCUAUCUAUGACUUUUAUGUGAUUGUUUUUUUUUAAUUCAGGGGAACUUUUGUGUGAUUGUAAUCAGUUAAGGAGUAAUAUUAUGCCUUAUGUGUAUAAUUUUAGAUGGGGUUAGUAUCAAAGGAAAUGUUGACCUUUUGAUUGAUUUUGAAUAAUUAAGAAUCCCUUGAUUUAAGAUAUGUCCUUUAAUAUGAUUUGCACUUUUCUUUAUAAAUAAUUGCACUUCCCUUAUUUACAGUUCCUUAUUUCUGUUUUUCACCUUCCUUAAGUAAUAUUCUUUUCAGUGUGUUUUGGAAUAAAACACUCGUUAUAUUUUGCAAUUAAUAAGGGGACACCAACAAGUCAUUUAUCAUAAUGAUCUCCUGAGUUCUAUUAUAAACCAAAAAUGUGUCUGAAAAUUCCGAACCCUUAAUUAAGAAAUCCUGGCACCGCCACUAUGCUAGGAAGAGGUUGAAAGUGAAUUAAGAAUGGUGAUUAGUAGCUGUACAUUUUUUACAUCCUAAGUGUCAUCUGAAACCAGUGGCAUUUUAUCAUUUGAAGCUUGUGAUGUCUUGGAAAGUAGGUGGGCAGGAGUCAUUUGGUCUCUCAUAUGCAUCUCUAUCUUAUUAUGCAAGAGUCACAAAAUAAAGACACUUUAACAAAUAUAAACUCUAUAUUAAAGUCCCAGAAUAAGGCUACAUUCAUGAAUCAUGGUAGCUUUUUGGAUGCAGAAAUCUGAUCUGAAGGCAAUCUGAAAAUAACUGUUAAACAAUUUAAAGUUAACUAACCAUCAAUUCAAAUUUUGUUAUAUUCUCACAAACAGGAAGGGACUUCCUCUGCUGCAACAACUCUAAGAUAUCCACCAGGCCCAUCCUUAAACCCCAGUAAAGGUAAGUAGGUAAGUCUGAUCAAAAGGAGACGAUCAAUCCUCCACCAACCGCCAUCUUUAACAAUUGCUGCUAACACAAGCGAAUAUUUUUAGACAAAACAUCAGACAUCUUUGACAAUUCCUGUUUUUAUUUCUGGUUUCUGUGGUUGGAUUCCUAGAAAAUGAAAUGGUAAAUAGAAUGCUAUGUAUUACCAGAAUUGUACCAAUGCUUUUGAACACUUGUAGGUGUUUUCAAGAACACCACCUUAUUCACCGGAGGAAAUUACCGAGGUUAAAGAUAUUUGGAUUGAUUACUUUAUGAGCAAUAUCGAUAUUUAGCUUUGUACUUAA